UAAGAAUAUUCCGCAAUGGACGAAAGUCUGACGGAGCGACGCCGCGUGGAUGAGGAAGGCCGAAAGGUUGUAAAAUCCUUUUGUCGAUGAAGAAUAAGGCGGGGAGGGAAUGCCCUGUUGAUGACGUUAGUCGGCGAAUAAGCCCCGGCUAAUUACGUGCCAGCAGCCGCGGUAACACGUAAGGGGCGAGCGUUGUUCGGAAUUAUUGGGCGUAAAGGGUGCGUAGGCGGUUUUGCAAGCCUGGCGUGAAAUCCUGGGGCUUAACCCCAGAACUGCGUUGGGAACUGCGGGACUAGAGUCAUGGAAGGGGAGUUGGAAUUCCAGGUGUAGGGGUGAAAUCUGUAGAUAUCUGGAAGAACACCGGUGGCGAAGGCGAACUUCUGGCCAAUGACUGACGCUGAGGCACGAAAGUGCGGGGAGCAAAC
rnacentral:rRNA from 1 species